rnacentral:rRNA from 1 species
CCUACGGGAGGCAGCAGUGGGGGAUAUUGCACAAUGGGGGAAACCCUGAUGCAGCGACGCCGCGUGAGUGAAGAAGUAUUUCGGUAUGUAAAGCUCUAUCAGCAGGGAAGAAAAUGACAGUACCUGACCAAGAAGCCCCGGCUAACUACGUGCCAGCAGCCGCGGUAAUACGUAGGGGGCAAGCGUUAUCCGGAUUUACUGGGUGUAAAGGGAGCGUAGACGGUUAUGUAAGUCAGGAGUGAAAGCCCGGGGCCCAACCCCGGGACUGCUUUGGAAACUGUGUAACUGGAGUGCAGGAGGGGCAGGCGGAAUUCCUGGUGUAGCGGUGAAAUGCGUAGAUAUCAGGAGGAACACCGGCGGCGAAGGCGGCCUGCUGGACUGAAACUGACGUUGAGGCUCGAAAGCGUGGGGAGCAAACAGGAUUAGAUACCCCAGUAGUC